GACGAAGGGGGCUAGCGUUGUUCGGAAUUACUGGGCGUAAAGCGCGUGUAGGCGGCUGCCAAAGUCGGGUGUGAAAGCCUUGAGCUCAACUCAAGAAUGGCACUCGAUACUUGGUGGCUAGAGGACCGGAGAGGAUAGUGGAAUUCCCAGUGUAGUGGUGAAAUACGUAGAGAUUGGGAAGAACACCAGUGGCGAAGGCGGCUAUCUGGACGGUUUCUGACGCUAAGACGCGAAAGCGUGGGGAGCAAACGGG
rnacentral:rRNA from 1 species